UACGGGGGGAGCAAGCGUUGUUCGGAUUUACUGGGCGUAAAGGGCGCGUAGGCGGCCACCGCAAGUCGACUGUGAAAUCUCCGGGCUUAACCCGGAAAGGUCAGCCGAUACUGCGGGGCUAGAGUGCAGAAGGGGCAACUGGAAUUCUCGGUGUAGCGGUGAAAUGCGUAGAUAUCGGGAGGAACACCUGUGGCGAAGGCGGCCCCCUGGUUGGAUACUGACGCUGAUACGCGAAAGCGUGGGGAGCAAACAGG
rnacentral:rRNA from 1 species